UUGCUGCUGGUGGUGACUGCGUCGCUGCUGGUGGUGACUGCGUCGUUGCUGUUGCUGUGUCUCCGUUCGCGUUUAUUAGACGCUGCUGUUGCUGCUGUGCUAGCUACGGGCUGGCGGGCGAUGCUGAUGGUGACUGCGUCGUUGCUGUUGCUGUGUCUCCGUUCGCGUUUAUUAGACGCUGCUGUUGCUGCUGUGCUAGCUACGGGCUGGCGGGCGGUGCUGACCUGGAAACGUCGUUGAGCUGCUAUCCGGCCGGAUCGUCGUCGUCUUCGCCAUUAUACGGUUCGUUGUUGCUGUUUGCCACACCGCCACGGAUACGCUAGCUUGAAUGGAAACAGCCUGCCUGGCCCGUCUACCCUGAUGCGAGCAUACAAACUGCAGCUGGAGGGAGGCGUUCGUCGAGUCCAACGUCGUUGCCAGGAGACAUGCUAGGGUAAAACGCCGCUGUUAACUGGUCCAGUGUGUUGACCAGGGUCAAGACAAAAAGUCGGGUCGUCAAAAUUUCCAAGUGGCUGUUGAGGCGAGAAAACUCCCUGCUGUUGCUGCAGCUGUUUGUUGUUGCUUCUGCUUGGGAAUGUGUUUACGCCUGCUGAUCCCGUUUAUUAAUAAAGGGGCUACUUGAUGCUGCUGUACUGGCAUCGAAGUGGUGGGCGAGAGACAAGUUGGCAUCAUUCUCGAAGCUCCCAUCAGGCCUGGUCAUCUUACGUUCCAGUGUCACUGAUCACCACAUCCUACGCGGUGAUGCCAGCAUGUAUCAGGCGUCGGCCAUUCGGGUCCGUCAGCCCUGAUGCAGGCAUCCCAAAUUUCGGCAGGAAGGAAAACAAGCGCCGCAGUUCAGGUGCUUUUACAGGAACACGCCGGUUUUCAGGAAUGAAAUUUUAUUGUAUAUUUUAGGAAAGAGAAGGAAAACUAAAAAAUUAUUCUCUUUCUUUCAGGAAAGCGGUUGUGAAGUGCCAGACAAAGCAGCAGAUGGAGCCAUCAUAAAGCGGAGAUUGUUUCGGGCACAAAUCCAUCAGUUUGGAAUGAAGACGGAUCACCAGUGAUGCAUUCACCAUCUCGCCAGGAUAGCGCUAUUCGAGUGCGCAGUCAUCCAGUAGGUGUUAUAAGUUAGAUUUUACCAUUUAUAUGUGAGACAUUUUCCUUUUUUAAAAUAACCUGUAAGUGA